CCGCUCUUUUUUCACCAGCUUUCUUUAAACCCUAAUUUCAGUUUCAUAUCCUGCCUCUUUCCAUCCUCUAUCUUUUUCUCUUUCUUGUGCGUUCAGUCCUUCAUCUACCUAACCCUAAUCACUAUCCCAUUCCAUCUACAGUCAAGAAGCACCGCUCUCCGUUCACUCACGCCGUUUGAUCCACCACACGCUCACACUUUCAUCCUAACCCUACCGGCUACUUCCUCAACCAUCCGUCGGCUAAAAAAUCUCAUGACAAAAAGACCACCGAUGAGGAUCAGGGUUGUUGUUGAUGUUAGGUUUAGCGAAGGAUUGCCUGCAAGAUCACGCCACUUCCUCAUUCGUUUGUUUCUUUAUGUCACAACGGGGUGUUUGGCAGCUUCAGAAGCUGGUAGUCAGCUACUGUAACUGGGGUGGAAGUAGUAGGGUAUCAGUAAAAAACCAUGUCUUAGUUGAAGGGUGUAAUAUGGAGUCCAGAUGAUUCAUUAUUUGGUAUCUGGAGUUGAUUACGAGGCUCCUUAGGCUCUGCAUUGGACGAGGGAGACGAAGUUGCUAAAUGGCUCACUUACUUCCGAAGGGAAACCAAGCCACUUAGUAAGCUUUAAUGAAGAAUUGAAGAAUUGGGUAUACAAA
rnacentral:lncRNA from 1 species